CCCUGGGACCCUCUUCACUGACCUGACCUCUCUGUCAUGAUUGCUUUCAGCUGACCUGGCUGGUUUAGGAGAAAACCUAGAAUUGUGGAGACCCAGAACCAAUCUCUGCCCUCUCUUAUCUCCAAGAGAGGAAGAAAAUAAUAGGUAUCACCAUGGAGAAAUGACCCACAUGAGGGCUGAGACUCUCCAGCAGUUAGAGCAGAGGAAACUCCCUGAAGAAGGGAGGAGCUGAGAUCCCAGGCUGGGAGAGCAGGCUUGUGUUAAGCAUUACUUAAUCUUUAAUUGCUCCCUGCCUGAAUCUACCAGCCAGCGAAUGACAACUGACUGAGUAUAAAUACUAGGACUACAGAACCGUGAUAAAAGGAGUCUCCUGCCCCUGGCCAGGGAGAGCCACAGGCUGGAUGACAUCUGGUUUAUAGUGAGGGGCAGCAGCAACUCCAAGAGGGGGAAGAUGUGACCAUGAGCCCCGCCCCAGACCCAGGAGGCUUGACCUUGGGGCUGCCGUAGCAGUGGAUGCUCUUCAGCUGAAUGACCUAUCCUGGGCCCGUGACCCUGGACUUCAGCCAGAUCAGCAUCUCAAGGCUGGAGUUCAAUGGCAUGAUCUCGGCUCACUGCAACCUCUGCCUCUGGGUUCAAGUGAUUCUCCUGCCUCAGCCUCCUGAGUAGCUGGGAUUACAGGUGUGUGCCACCACGCCCGGCUAAUUUCCUAUAUUUUUAGUAGAGACGGGUUUUCACCACGUCGGCCAGGCUGGUUUCGAACUCCUGACUUCAGGUGAUCCACCCACCUCGGCCUCCCAAAGUGCUGGGAUUACAGGCGUGAGCCACCACUCCCAGCCUCUGUCUGGUAAUUUAAAUGCUUUGGAGACUCCAAGAUUCACCCAUGUCCAAAAUAAAUUCUAUAUCAGUCAUAGUACUAGCAUUUAGAAGUUGUGUGUUUUAUCCUCUAAUUAUAGAUGAAAUACCUAAGGUGGAAAGGAGUAAAGCAGCUUCCAUGAAUGUAGUGAGAAUGUAGGGGGGUUAGGGACUAAAGUCCUGCCUUAGGAUUCCCCAGCAGUUGCCAGUCACAAUUUUUGUACUCUUAGAAACAACAACAACAACAACAAAAUGACAACCUGUUUUGUUCCUCUGCUUACCCUAUCCAAUUCUCUACACCAUAACAUCUCUGCUUAUCAAGACAACUUGGAUUCUCAAUUUGUUGAGCUCAACAAAUGCAUCUCUUGAGCCCCUGUGGGUAAAGCAUUAUGCUAGUUAUGGCGGGUGAUACAGAGGAAGCACAGAAGAGUCCUUAGUGACAAGAGCUUAAGAUUUCUGCUCUCAGCUCAGCCUGAGUUGCCUGCAG
rnacentral:lncRNA from 10 species